rnacentral:rRNA from 1 species
CCUACGGGGGCAGCAGUGGGGGAUAUUGCACAAUGGGGGGAACCCUGAUGCAGCGACGCCGCGUGAGGGAAGACGGCCUUCGGGUUGUAAACCUCUGUCGCAGGGGACGAAGGAGAUGACGGUACCCUGUGAGGAAGCCACGGCUAACUACGUGCCAGCAGCCGCGGUAAUACGUAGGGGGCAAGCGUUAUCCGGAAUUAUUGGGCGUAAAGAGUACGUAGGUGGCAACCUAAGCGCAGGGUUUAAGGCAAUGGCUCAACCAUUGUUCGCCCUGCGAACUGGGAUGCUUGAGUGCAGGAGAGGAA